CCCUGGUUAGCUCAGUUGGUAGAGCGCUCCACCUGUGAUGGAGAGUCCCGGGUUCGAUACCCGGACCAGGCG
rfam:Ixodes scapularis strain Wikel colony gcontig_1107729147804, whole genome shotgun sequence.